rnacentral:rRNA from 1 species
CACGUAGGGUGCGAGCGUUGUCCGGAAUUAUUGGGCGUAAAGAGCUCGUAGGCGGUGUGUCGCGUCGGCCGUGAAAACCUGCAGCUUAACUGUGGGCGUGCGGUCGAUACGGGCAGACUUGAGGCAUUCAGGGGAGAACGGAAUUCCUGGUGUAGCGGUGAAAUGCGCAGAUAUCAGGAGGAACACCGGUGGCGAAGGCAGCACUCUGGGACGUGACUGACGCUGAGACGCGAAAGCGUGGGGAGCAAACAGG